ACGUGGACAUUUAUGAAGUAAUUUUGUGUAGCAGUCUACUUUUAAAAACCAUCCAGAGAAUGGCCACCGGUGAUGUUCCUGUCUUCAGUAACCAACAAACGAAACAGCUAGGUGCUUGUGUCUACCCCUGGAUUAACAUGAGACCCAGAGACUUUGGACCCAGCAAUUGUAAGUCUCAAAGCCUGAACCUCUGGUUUCUAUCAUACGACUACACAGCCAAUACAUUACAAAUGAGCUGACCACACGUGGGGUGUUAAUUGGAGCUUGGCACCCCCAGGAACAUGACAAAUUAAUUCUCCACCAGUUAGAAAUAAACAAAACCCAAAAGAGCUUUUAUUAA